GCAACAUAAAACUGUGUCAGUGUUUUCUAUGUAGGCAGUCAAAAUGCGUUGAUAACUUGAGAGGAAACCCUCAUGACGGAGAGCUGGACGCCUGCCCUCUUCAGGAUCCUCAGUCCCUCCCUCUCCCCGCUGUCCUCUGAGUCACAGAAGUACAGGCGAGAGACGAAGAUGCGCAGUUUGAGGUUUGGGGUUUGGGCGACGAACCGAGCCAGGCGGCGCGAGCAGUCCAAGCAAGGGGACCAGGAGCAGAACCAAGUCACAGAGUAGCAGAGCUUAAUGCCCCCGGGACCGCAGCCCCACAGGCCGGGGCAGAGCACCCCCAAGUGACUGAGGAAAAGAAGCUGAGAAUCCAGAACAUGGGCACAAUUAAUGGAGGACAGAUUACCCAUUGUGGUUCUUUCAACUGAAAAGUAGUUUUUUAGCUGACAUGCCUGGAAAGCCUUGAAACUUGGGAACUCACCUCAACAUGGCAACCACUGCGAUUACGCAGGUGGCCGAAGUCAAAGGACAGUGUGUCUGGGCCAUCCCUCCUCUUCACCACAAAGCACAGUGCAGAAUAUCUCAGAAUUCUUCUAUCGCGUCAUCCGUUAGGCCUAUUCCCACAGACUGCCUUUUCCCAGUUUCCUCCUGUACGCCACUCUGGGACCUCCAUGGCAAUUGGCUUGACCCCUUCACAUGAGGAGAUCCCAACAGCCUCUCCCAACAAACGUAUUCGGAACAUUUGGGCUUAGAGCCAAAGAUGUGAUCACCUUCUGUAGAAUUUGUUCAGGCAUAUUUUGUCCGUUUGGAGAUGCUCUCGUCUGCUUCCCAUGAACUAAUGCAUUCCGAGGGUUUGGGAAUUCAUUGUUCCCAGAUUGUGUGUUUUUAGUAGAACAUCUACAUGUGUUGUAUAUCCGAUGUGCUACAUCUGGAAAUGCUUUUCCAUUCUUCCACAUGCCCAGCUCCGUGGCCCUAUGCUACGUGUGAUCCUGCCUUGGCUGCAUCGCCACCGGCUCGUGAGCGAGGCCCAGUCUCACUAGUCUCCGUGUUUAAUGAUGGGAGUUGAGUGGAGCUGACAGAUUCACUUAAUGAACAGGCAUGCCUGUACCAAACGACACUGCAGCCCCAUUCUCAGCGGUGUAAAUAGGCUGAGUGUUGCUGGACACUGCAGUGCUCUCUGCCUGCGAGGGAAGGGAACGAGACAGGAAAUGCCAAGUCAUAUUUUCCGAAACCCACCCACCUACACACUUACACACACAUACACACACACGUGCGCGCACACACGCACACACAAAACCACACACUACAGACACAACCACAGGCACAAACACACUUACUUUCCAGUGGCCUUUAUUCACAUCUGUUUCCUGUAAACACUAAUAGCUGCGAUUUGGUUUUGAGUUUUUACUAACAGGUGUUUUUGAAGUGGAAGUUUAGUCAUGUAGUAAAUGGCAAGAGCCCUUUUGAACAGUCAUUUAGUUUUGUUCUAUAAAACAUUUCAGUUAAACUGCUUUUGUAAAGGCACUGUUGUCAGUUACAUAAGUCUAUUCGAUUUGUCUUCAUGGGGAGAAAAACUCUAUAUAGUAUAUAUAGUAUAGAAAAAUUCUAUACUAGCCUUCUUCAAUCUCUUUAGUUUUUGUCAACUCUGCAAAACAGUAAGCGCUUCAUUCUCUCACCCUUUUUUUUUUACUGUACAAACAUCCGGUACUGCAUGUAUGUGAGCAAUUAGAGACUGCUCUUACUACUUGAGGUUAGCAGAGUGAAUUGUAAGGUUAACCGACAAUGCAUCUGGUUUAGGCUGUAGUGAAGUGCACCGUGUCAUGCCACCCACACACUAACGGUCAAAACACAAACACAACCUCACACCUGUCACACACACAUACACACACACACACACAGCGUAAUCAAUGACUAAUAUAUGCAGGGGGCAGGGGGGGAGCAACAGAAAAGGGACACAAAACACAGGUAACUCUGCAAUGGUCUAAAGAGACAUGGGUGGGGAGCAAAGAGAGAUGGCAUCCAUGUUCUGCAGAUUCAUAGCAGCAAAACCACAUGCUUCCACCAGCGCAGGUGAAGGUGUUCAGAGGUGAGACGCAGAUGUAGAAAGUCAGACAAGCGUUCUGCAGUCUCACGUUAACCGCAGACUUCCCUUGACACAUGCAACCUUUUUUCGCAGCUAUAGUAUGCAUGGCCCCGAGAACAGCCAUAAGAGUGGUUCCUGCAGUCACAAAAGAUGCAUCUACAUUCAUAGUUACUUUGCAAUGUUCAUUUUUUCCAUUUUGUACAAUAAAUGUCUGACACCGCAUCUGCAAAUUAACUUCUUCUGGGCGAAGAGAACACUGAAAGCACUGUCAGGCAACAGCGACAGUGCGUUUGGGGGAGUGCAUCCAACACAGCCGUAUCUGUCUAUUCACAAUCUGAUUAAACAGAAUCUUCACUGCAUAAACAUAAUCCACUUUGGUGGAUGAUUUGUCAAGAACUGUAAAAGUUGAGUGAAUUUUUUUGCGUAACUACAGUGUACAUGUUUUGCACGGUUGAGAAAAAAUAUAUUUAAUAAAUAAUUAAAUGUGGAU